UGGGGAAUAUUGCACAAUGGGGGAAACCCUGAUGCAGCAACGCCGCGUGAGUGAAGAAGGCCUUCGGGUUGUAAAGCUCUGUUGAAGGGGAAGAUAAUGACGGUACCCUUCGAGGAAGCCACGGCUAACUACGUGCCAGCAGCCGCGGUAAUACGUAGGUGGCGAGCGUUGUCCGGAUUUACUGGGCGUAAAGGAUGCGUAGGCGGAUUAUUAAGUCAGAUGUGAAAUACCCGAGCUUAACUUGGGAGCUGCAUUUGAAACUGGUAGUCUGGAGUGCAGGAGAGGUAAGUGGAAUUCCUAGUGUAGCGGUGAAAUGCGUAGAGAUUAGGAAGAACACCAGUGGCGAAGGCGACUUACUGGACUGUAACUGACGCUGAGGCAUGAAAGCGUGGGGAGCAAACAGG
rnacentral:rRNA from 1 species